UACGCUUUGGUGUAAGGUGCACGUUAGUUUUUGAUACUGGGUGGGAAAGUUUAAUUCUUUCAAGUGUAG
rnacentral:tRNA from 1 species